rnacentral:misc_RNA from 1 species
GUAGGUGAACCUGCGGAAGGAUCAUUAAAGGUUUCCGUUCGGACUCUUUUUUACAAAGAGUUCCGGCGGCCAACGAUCAACCACUGUACGCACAUAUCGAAAUUUUAAAAUGCUUUGGUAGGUCUCCUUUCGAAAUUUAUUUUUCGGAGGAGUCUGCCAAGGGCGUUUACCCACAAAAUCUACCUUAUUUUUCGACUGAAAUUUU